ACGACUUGACUUCACUUUAAGUUUUGACAUCGGACUGAUCGGACGUGUUUUUUUAAGCCCUGACUGUUGUGAAUAAUUAAAUUUAUGUUGUGGUGUCAAGCGAUUGACUGUCAGUUGAGGUUCAGAUGUCGAGCUGUGCGGACGUGUUCAUCGAGCUGCUGUCUACAAAAAACUUCGUUUCAGAUUUGACAUGAGAUGAAAACCUGACAUGAUUUGAACAGAGCUGGGGAACGAAAAGGUAAGUCUGUUUCAUUCCACUAUGAACACUUGUAUUUUGACAAAAGAAGAGAUAAAGUGAGUUACUUUAUCAUCAUGGUUUCAUUUGGUGUAUAACACAUGAACAGAGGUAAACCUAGCUAGCUUUUCGUGUACUCUAUUUUGGAUGAUGAGUAUGUCAGUAACUUUAAUUGUACGGCUAGUAAAGUAUGAACAUGAAUGCUUUGUUCAGAUUUUCAGAUGUGUGCUGGCAGUUCAAGUCUGGCAGCUGGAGUGAACAGUCGUGUUUUCUGGAGCUCCAACAAUAUGCUAGAAGGUAAGUAACUAUGUUUGUUUUGCAUUGCAUGUUUUUAUAUGUUUCAGACUUUCAAGCAGAGAUGUCAUGCUGACUGGAGUUGAGCACAGGGCAGUGACAAAGUGAAAGGUAAGUACUUUUGACUGAAUGUUUGUUCUAUGCAUGUUUUGUUUUAAUACAUUUCAGGAGUGCUUAUCCAGUGAUGAUAUGACAGUUGGAGUGAACAGUGGAGCCAAGCAGUCUUGUUUUUGGAGCUACUCAACAAGCCUUGAAGAUGCUGAUGGCAGUGAUGGGUUUUCAAGCUGACCUGAACAGAAAAGCACUCAUAUGGUAAGUACAAAAUAGUUGUUAUAUGGGAUGUUUUGUGCAUGCUUUUAUGUUUCAGGUGUACUUGCUGACAGCGACGAAAACGAAUCAAGAAGAGGAACAUUGUUGAGAAAGUGAUUGGGACUUGCAAACAGGGUAAGUGUAACACUUGUGUUUGUUUAAUUUGUAACAUGCGUGCUUUGCUCUGUUUCAGAUUUCACAUGCAGAAAUUAAACAGGAUUUCAACUGCUGAGACACAAUUCAUCACAAGUAAGGUAAGUUUUAAUUCAUUGAUUUGAGUUGUACAAUGUGUUCUUUACUUUAUUUCAGAUUCGAGUCACUGGUUUACACAUGGAAGAAGAUUUCCACGUCGGUUACUCAACUCUACAGAAGCAAGGUAAGUCGAUCAAAUUUUUGUUUUCAUUUGUACUGCUGUAAUGUGAUGGUAAACUUAUGCUAUUUUUCAUGUGUGUCAUGUACAGAUGGAUAAUUCAAGUUUGAUCUGUGUUGGUUUAUGUUCAAAAACGUUUUACAUGUAUGUGUGUUUGAAGAUGUUUUGUUUCAGUGGAUGUCCAGAUGGCAAGCAGAACAGACGUGUUUCUUGGAGCUGCCAAACAGUGAGUACAAACGUUUUAUAUUUUUCAGUUGUUUACUCAUUGAAGUCUGUGAAAGAUGAUAACAAGGGUUGAAUUGCACAGUACUUGUGUCUAAAAAUGCUGAUGUGUGACGGUUUACUGAAAAGGGUAAAUGCUAGCCAGUACUAACACUUGAGCAACCGUGGGAUGUCGAACUAACUGAUGAUGUACUAUGAUGGUGAACACUUACUAUGUGUAUCGAAAUGCUUUUGUUGAUAUUUAUUAUAGAUGAUUUGAUAUUGGUUAACAUUUGUUUGCAUGCUGUUAACAUUUCUAUUUCAUUUCAGGGAGCUGUGGUGAGUAUUGUAGUAUACAUUUGUUUCAAUAAACCAUGAUUAAUGAAAACUGAUUUCGAUUCUUUUUUACAGUUUUAGGGAUUAUCACUCUAUAACAACUCUGUCGGUUGGUGUUCGUGAAUGUGAGCUUAAUGUUUGAGUAGUACAAAAAUGUCUUUACUUUUGUGAUCGCCAGUUGUCUGUGAUGUAAAGUGGAAAAAACACAGCUAUGAAGCAUACAAUUGUUUCAAUAUUUUAUCAAUGAUAGUGUGCUAUGCAUGUUUUGAUUUAGUUCGUUUCAGAUAUGACAUGACAUGAAGAGUUGACAGUCGAACAGAGCUGAGCAAUGCAGAAAGGUAAGUGUGUUUCAUUUUAGUAUGAACACUUGUAUUUUGUUUUUAUAUGGUAUGUUUUGUGCAUGCUAUGUUUCAGGUGUACUUGUAGUCAGCGACGAAGACGAUUCAAGAAGAGGAACAUUGCUGAGAAAGUGAAUGGGACAUGCAAACAGGGUAAGUGUUACAAUUGUUGGUUUGAUUUUUACCAUGCAUACUUUGCUUUACUCUGUUUCAGAUUUCACAUGCAGAAAUGGUCUCAUAGCAGUGCCAACAGUGAAUAAGGAUUUCAUCUGCUGUGAAACAACUCAACAGAAAGUAGGUAAGCAUUGAAUGAAUGCACUUGAGCUGUACAAUUUGAUGUGAUGCUUUUCUCUGUUUCAGAUUCAAGUUCCUGGUGUAGACAGAGAAAUGUGUUUGAAGAAGGAAUUCUACUACUGUGAUUCAACUCUACAGAAGCAAGGUAAGUAGAAACAAAAUUUUGGUUUAAUUUAACUCAUGUGUUUUGCACUGCAUGCUAUUUUUCAGGUCUCUCACGCAGUGAUGGAAAAGAAGAAGAUUUCAAGAAAGAAUCACUGCUGCAACUCAGGCCUAUAACAAGGUAAGUGUUUACUAUAUUGUAUACAAAAUGUUUCUCUGUUUUACUCUGUUUCAGGUUUCAAUUGCAAAGAUGUUGCAGAGAUGUUUUGACAGCUUGAGACAGAAAAGAAAUUCAGCAGCUGUGUCUCGACUCUAGCCACGAGGUAAGUCAAAACAAAUAUACUGGUUUGUAUGUAAUGUUGUUAUGCCCUUCUAUGUUUCAGACUUACAUUGCUGUGACUGUUCCACAGUGGGUCAAAAAAGAGACGAAUACAGGUUUCAAGAAGAAAAUUGGCUGUUGAAAACCUGCACAAAAUAUGAGGUAAGUAAACUAUUCUUUUGGUUUGUUUUGUGCUUUGUUAUGCUUAACUAUUUUUCAGAUUGGAAUGGUGGGUCGUUACAGAGCAGACUUUUGGACAACUGAGAAGUUGAGAAACAGAGAAUGAUUCAAUAUCAGCUAGGUAAGUCUUGAUUAUUCUGCAUUGUAAAAUGUGUUUCUUUUUCAUUUCAGUAUGGCUGUGGUAAGUACACUAACUUUCUAUAAUUUCAUAUUGAACUGUUUUGAUGACUUGUAUUCUACU